CCUACGGGAGACUGCAGUGGGGAAUAUUGCACAAUGGGGGAAACCCUGAUGUAGCGAUGCCGCGUGGAGGAAGAAGGUUUUCGGAUUGUAAACUCCUUUUAUCAGGGACGAUAAUGACGGUACCUGAAGAAAAAGCUCCGGCUAACUACGUGCCAGCAGCCGCGGUAAUACGUAGGGAGCGAGCGUUGUCCGGAAUUACUGGGUGUAAAGGGAGCGUAGGCGGGACGGCAAGUCAGAUGUGAAAACUUAGGGCGUAAAUUUCAGACUGCAUUUGAAACUGCUGGUUUUGAGUGAAGUAGAGGGUAGCGGGAGUCCUAGUGUAGCGGUGAAAUGCGUAGAUAUUAGGAGGAACAUCGGUGGCGAAGGCGGCUUACUGGGCUUUUACUGACGCUGAGGCUCGAAAGCGUGGGGAGCAAACAGGAUUAGAUACCCCAGUAGUC
rnacentral:rRNA from 1 species